UGGGGAAUAUUGGACAAUGGGCGCAAGCCUGAUCCAGCCAUGCCGCGUGUGUGAUGAAGGCCUUAGGGUUGUAAAGCACUUUCGCCGAUGAAGAUAAUGACGGUAGUCGGAGAAGAAGCCCCGGCUAACUUCGUGCCAGCAGCCGCGGUAAUACGAAGGGGGCAAGCGUUGUUCGGAUUUACUGGGCGUAAAGCGUACGUAGGCGGAUGAUUAAGUCAGGGGUGAAAUCCCGGGGCUCAACCUCGGAACUGCCUUUGAUACUGGUCGUCUUGAGUCCGGGAGAGGUGAGUGGAACUCCUAGUGUAGAGGUGAAAUUCGUAGAUAUUAGGAAGAACACCAGUGGCGAAGGCGGCUCACUGGCCCGGAACUGACGCUGAGGUACGAAAGCGUGGGGAGCAAACAGG
rnacentral:rRNA from 1 species